GAGGAGUGCUUAGGAGCCCAGCGAGGGUGCCUACAAGAGGAGUCAAAGGGCAAAGGUCCUGGGGUACUUAGCACCGUGGCAUAUCUGUAAUAAGCACAUGCACACCUCGAAGGAGGUCUUCACUUCAACAUACAAGUUGACCAUGGCAUGCUCUGGGCUCCAGUCCUCUACAAAGUUGUAGGGCAGGAACUACCAGUUGUCAGCACAGCACCAUCCCACAUUGCUCUUCUAAUGGAGCCUUUCACCCCAGAUGUUCUUUCUCGUCUGAUGGGAAGGAUCCAAGUAUGUAAAUAUUAUGUUCUAGAUCAGCUUUGGUCUGUCCUAAAAGAAAUUUGCCAGUGGAUUAUUCCAUAUGGAUAAAAGUCAGUUUCUCUGGUCUUCCUGGAAUGUGUCUAGAAAGCAAAUACAUUAUUUACAAGUUCAUAGUAGAUCAAUGUAUUGGAUUAAAAUAUGACAAACAUAAUUUGGUCAUUGUGAGAAUGCCAGCUCGGUCAACUAUUCACCACACAUGAUGCCCUAAAUAUAACUCUAGGUUUUCUUAUGCCCAAGAGAGGGACAUACUCUUGGGUGUCUGGACUAGGGAAACAUGUAUGAAAAACCAUUUGGCCACUCUACAUCUUGUUAUUGGAGAAUCGAAACCAUCUAUAUUCAAAGAUAUUAUUAAAAGGCAAGAAGUUAA